AGACAACGAGAGAAGGAAAAAAGAAAAAAAAAAGUUGAAAUUUGUGGGGGAAAUUAUUUAUUUAGUAUGGCAAGAACACCGCUUAUUUAUCUCCCCGUCCCAACGAUUAGAAAACUUCAAGCUUUCUACCUAACAACAUACCCAAGAUUGUAAGCAUAUCUAAGGAGAUCGCCUAUCUCCGACAUGUCGAUUGCUCCAACGUCAUUGGCAUCAGCAAGUCUGAUUGCUUGAUGGGCCUGGAGCCCAGGUAACGUUGAACCAAGAUAUUGGAAAACUUUUCUGAUCUUCACUGCUAAGAAUAUUGUCUUGAUACAGGUCGAACUGCAUGAAAAUUCCCAUUAUUUGCUCUUCAGUUUAGCGAACAGGAGCAGCUUUUCUUACCAGCAACUCUUCUCUUGCUUCUCUAGUCUCCUUCGUAUCAUCAAUUUCACAAUCGAUAUGAAGAUCAAGGUUGCAGCUAUAACAUUUGCAGCUAAUGUACUUCCCAUGCAUUUAAGAAUGGUUGGUAAAAAUCCUAAUUUUAUUUGGGUGUGGAUCAGUAGGCAAUCAUUAAUUCGGGAAGA
rnacentral:misc_RNA from 1 species